rnacentral:lncRNA from 1 species
CUGGUUGUUCCUUUUUAGUUGAGGGUCAUCAAUUAAAACCUGUGAUAAAAGGAGCUGAUAGGUAAUGACUGACAUGCGGGGACAGCAGCUAAAUGAAGUGCAGUAAGGUACAAUACCUCUUGAGCAGGCAUAUGAGAAGAUACAUGAACACAGUCCUUGAAAAACCUGCUGAGCUUUAAGCAACCACUGUGCAGUGGGCAGGGUCGUGGACCUGGAAGCAGGAUACUUGAGAGUGCCUGGUAUGACGCUGGGGCUGUGUGCUCCACCCUGGUUCCUGUGUGUCCUUGCAGCGUGUGCACAUGGUCUGGUGGCAUGGAUGGAGGCUUGAGUCCACAUGGCAUCUGCUCCUCAUGCUCCUGCUUCACCCGCUUCCAAUGCCAUAAUAAGAGCACUUACAGAUAUCAUGGGGAACGACAUGAGAGAUCAUAACAAACG